rnacentral:rRNA from 1 species
CCAGUAGUCAUAUGCUGUCUCAAAGAUUAAGCCAUGCAUGUCUCAGUACAAGCCAAAUUAAGGUGAAACCGCGAAAGGCUCAUUAAAUCAGUUAUGGUUCCUUAGAUCGUACCCACAUUUACUUGGAUAACUGUGGUAAUUCUAGAGCUAAUACAUGCAAACAGAGCUCCGACCGGAGACGGAAGGAGCGCUUUUAUUAGAUCAAAACCAAUCGGUGGCGGGUCUCCCGUCACCGUACACCUUGGUGACUCUGAAUAACUUAUUGCUGAUCGCACGGUCUCGCACCGGCGACGCAUCUUUCAAAUGUCUGCCUUAUCAACUGUCGAUGGUAGGUUCUGCGCCUACCAUGGUUGUAACGGGUAACGGGGAAUCAGGGUUCGAUUCCGGAGAGGGAGCCUGAGAAACGGCUACCACAUCCAAGGAAGGCAGCAGGCGCGCAAAUUACCCACUCCCGGCACGGGGAGGUAGUGACGAAAAAUAACGAUACGGGACUCAUCCGAGGCCCCGUAAUCGGAAUGAGUACACUCUAAACCCUUUAACGAGGAUCAAUUGGAGGGCAAGUCUGGUGCCAGCAGCCGCGGUAAUUCCAGCUCCAAUAGCGUAUAUUAAAGUUGUUGCGGUUAAAAAGCUCGUAGUCGAAUUUGUGUCCCGCGCCGCCGGUUCAUCGCUCGCGGUGUCAACUGGCGUGUCCGCGGGACGUCCUGCCGGUGGGCUUAGCCCCCCGUGGGCGGCCCAAUCUCAAUCCCACCGCGGUGCUCUUCACUGAGUGUCGAGGUGGGCCGGCACGUUUACUUUGAACAAAUUAGAGUGCUUAAAGCAGGCUAAAACAUCGCCUGAAUACUGUGUGCAUGGAAUAAUGGAAUAGGACCUCGGUUCUAUUUUGUUGGUUUUCGGAACCCCGAGGUAAUGAUUAAUAGGAACGGAUGGGGGCAUUCGUAUGCGACGUUAGAC